ACGAGGGGUGCAAGCGUUGUUCGGAAUCAUUGGGCGUAAAGCGGGUGUAGGUGGUCAUAUAAGUCAGAAGUGAAAGCCCAGGGCUCAACCUUGGAAGUGCUUUUGAUACUGUAUGACUUGAGUGUAAGAGAGGUUACUAGAAUUCCUGGUGUAGCGGUGAAAUGCGUAGAGAUCAGGAGGAACACCGGUGGCGAAGGCGAGUAACUGGCUUAACACUGACACUCAGGCCCGAAAGCGUGGGGAGCAAACGG
rnacentral:rRNA from 1 species